UACGUAGGGGGCAAGCGUUGUCCGGAUUUACUGGGCGUAAAGAGCGCGUAGGCGGAGAUCUAAGCGUGGCCUGAAAGCCCCCGGCUCAACCGGGGAGUGCGGCUGCGAACUGGGUUUCUUGAGGACGAUAGAGGAGAGUGGAAUUCCUGGUGUAGCGGUGAAAUGCGUAGAUAUCAGGAGGAACACCCGAGGCGAAGGCGGCUCUCUGGGCCUUACCUGACGCUGAGGAGCGAAAGCGUGGGUAGCGAACAGG
rnacentral:rRNA from 1 species